CCUGUCCCCGGGACCAGGAUCUGCUGGCUGGCUUGAGUCCGCUGCGUGUGGCUUUCCUCCUGCCCAUGGGGAUCUGAAGCAGGAUUAGGCAGGAUUACAAACUCCAGAAGCCUCCCGCAGAGACUCAGACGCCUGCCUGCCCUGUUGGGAGUGGUCCUGCUGCAUGGGGGUUGGGGAAGGCUGACGGCACUUUGGCAGAACCCCACUUCACUGGAAAGAGGGUCCCUGUCUACAGAGCUGACCCUGAGACCAGUCAGAGGUGCCUUCCCCUCUCAAGGCCCCGGACAACUGUGCGGGCACCGUCAGCCCUGAGGGCCUGGGACAAGACGGACCCCCUUCCCUCCGGUGAGCAGCUGGACCCAGUAGCCUCUGUUUCCCCCUAAGGCCACCCACUGCCCUGCGUGGCUGGUGACCUGCUCUUCCCCAGGGCCUCUGUGCCUGGCCGACUGGAGGGGGUGCAAGGGCAGUGGGCAGAGGCUCUGAUGACCAUGAACAAGGGAAUUCUUUCUGUGUUUGCUCUGGCUUAUCUGGGGGAGACCAAGCAGGGAUCUGGGGCCCAGAGAUGUUAGGGUGCCAGGUCAGGGGGCACAGCCCUUCAGCAGAGCCAAGACUGGAGCCAGGCACGCAAGUCCUCGUCCCCCUCACCCUCCCUCACCCCUCCUUCCCCUCAAGACCUGCCUGUAACUGGCACUGGGCACACGCCCCUGGUCCUCUGCCGCGGGUGAGCUCUGAGCCCAGGAGGGCAGCGUCACACAGGUGGUACAGCACUGCGUCAUGCAGGGGGCGGAGCUCGGGUCUGAGACGUGGGCACUGUCUCCAAGUCAUGCCUGCAGGCCUUAGCAUCUAGAACCUUCCACCUGCCCCAAGUGCAAAGGGCUCCGUGGGCAGGUGGGUAGUGGGCGCUUGGAGCAGGGGCUCCCAGGCAUCACCCCCAGGCUUCUUGCUGUCUGUGAGGACAGUCUGAUAUUGCUCAUUACCAGGGGAAAAGGAGAACUCCCCUUGCGUGUUCUAGAACACGGUUCAUCCCCAUGACUGUGCUGGGGGGACCCGUCUCUCUGCUGCAGGGUGGCUGGACACUGGGCCACCCCAAAGGAAAUCAGUUCUGGGUUGAUCCCGCAGUCCCUGAAGCGGUUUUCACAGCCAGGGGGCGCGACCGUAUUUUGCAGGUGACUAACCAGUGGUUGCCUGGCACGGAGUGUGUCCCCUGCGCAGAGCAGAGCUAGAGGGUUCCACAGCUCCCUCUCACCUGGAGACUAGAGCCAGGCCGCCUAUUGUCCCCAAAGUGCCCCACCUGGUAGUCAGGCCCGUUGAACACUCCUCCGGCCCUGGGAAGGACCCUGCCUGGCUGGAGGGGCCAGGCCAGGAUUGAAGGGCCUGGCUGGGCAUUCAGAGGGGGCCGUGUGCUGGGCAGUUGGGCUGGGCGGGGAGAAGGCCUUUGGGAGGAAAGUACAUGGCCCAGCUGAAUAGGACUCUCUCCAACUUCCCUGGGGAGGAGCCAGACCCAGGAGGACCCCUCCAUCUCUCCCAGGAUGGGGUCUGGGGCGGCGGCCUUCCCCACCCAUGCUACAAGCCCGUACCCCUCACCAGCACUUCGGUCCGCAGUGCCCACGGCUGGCGAGAGGCCCUCUCCACGGUGCGGCAGCCUGUGGGACGGGGCAAAAGACCGCGUACCCACGGCGCGGCAGCCUGUGGCGCGUAUCCACGGUGCAGCAGCCCGUGGGACGGGGCAAAAGGCCGCGUAAGGUGGGCCAGGGUGGCUCCCCCGUGCCACCAGGGCCCUGUCCCCUCUCUGGACCAGGUCCACCUGCCUCCCAGGCCAGGGCGGUGUGGGGCGGGGGCCCGACCAGUCCUUCCUGGAGCGCUGAGAAGAGUGGUGAGGCCCUGUGCCGGGGGCUCCCUCCUGCCUCCCCCCUCUCCCCGGAGCCAGGGGCUGCAUUGGGGCUCCUGGCUGGACCCCCAGGUUCCAGGUAUCGCCAUCCCUCAGCCCAGGUGCCACGGGGACGCUCCUGUGGAUUCCCAGAGUCCUCACAGAAGGCUGGCAAGCAGCACGGAGAUGAGCCAGGCUGCAGGCACUUCCAGGCGGUGAGCGUGUGACCCCGCCAUGCCCGGCCCCGGAACCGCCCACUGCUCCCAGCUGCCGCUCUCCCCCGCACUCAGGCCACACGGGGUCUCCUCUGUUCUGGGGGCAUGACUUCCCCCAGUCCCUCCUCAGCCACAGGGUCCUGACAGAAGGCUCUCCCCCGAGGCUCUGGGUGGGCCGCUAACUCCCAGGAGAGGUGGAGUCACUCGCUCAGAGUCCUGGGGUCCCUGUCCUUGAGUCCCGUGGCCCCUCAGGCCUCACGGGUCCGAGGGCCCCUUCUCUGAGCUCUGUGGCUCUGGCCUCUGCUCCCAACAUCUCUCUCCAUCCCAGCUUCCCCUUCCCUCUUCCCCAGUCAAGGCCAAGGACAAAUGUCAAAGUGUGGUCUACCAAAUGGGUGUAGAAUGAAAACAGACCCAGAAACAUCCCUGAAAAAAGCUCAAAUACUUGGAAACUCAGUAACACACUUCUGAGUGACCUUGGGUCCAAGAGGAAAUCAAAAGAGAAUUAGCAUUUUGAACUAAGAAUGAAAGCAGUGCUUACAGGGAAAUUCGCAGCGCUGACGGCUAUACCAGCAAAGAAGACAGGCUUGAGAAUCCAUGACAGUUUCCACGCUAAGAAACUUGACAAAGUAGAGCAAACUAAACAUAAACUAAGUGAAGGAGACAAAAAGAUCAAUGAAAUAGAAAGCCUUCACGACCCCACGGACUGCAGCCCACCAGGCUCCUCCGUCCAUGGGGUUCUCCGGGCAACAGUACUGGAGUGGGUUGCCAUUGCCUUUUCCAGAGGAUCUUCCUGACCCAGGGAUCGAACCCGGGUCUCCCGCAUGGGCCCCCAUUGCUGCAGGCAAGGACUGCCCUGGCCCACUGCUCUCCUGUGUCCGCCGAGACCUCCAGCUCACCCGGUCUCUGCAGUUAGACGCCCACAGCCAGCUGGCCCAGGAGACAGAGCCCCACCUCCACCAGGCACAGACAGCCUGAUUUCCGGCCCUGCCAGCAGAGGGCGCGUGAGUGCUUCCCACCUGGGGGCUUGGCGAUGGGGCCCAACAGGCAGAUAAAGGGAGGCGGCUGGGGAUGCCUGCGCCUGGACUCUGCGAGAGCUGGUGCCUCAGCAAGGCCCCAGGUGCCACGGAGCCCGGCUCUCGGGUGCCUCUGACCCAUGGAGACAGUGCCAGGCCCCCACCCCAAGCAGCGUGCAGAGGGAGGGGCACGGACUUGAGAGUGACUCGGGGCUGGGCCCUUCUCUCUGGACCCUGCCAAAUCGCCUCCCUCAGAGCCUGUUUCCUCUCCCACGAAAGCGAGGAUGAUAAGAAGUGCCACGUAGGGGACGCCAGCGCCCUACUGCACUAUCUCCCGACUGCAGACAGUGCAGAUACACCCCUGCACAGACCUGGGGCCAGAAGUCCAAGUGGGUCUCCCUGGGCUAAAUCAGGUGUGAGCAGCCUGGGUGGGUCCUGCUGGAGGCUCUGGGUCCUCUAGAGGCCACAGCCAAAGUCAGCUGUGACAGGCUCAGUCCGUCCCACGCUGCCCCCUCUGGCCUCUUAAGGACCCUCACAAUUAGAUUGGGUCUACCUGGAUGAUCCAGGGUGCUCUAGCCAUCCCAAAGCAGCUGAUGAACAGUCUCAAUCCCAGCUUUGCCACAUACCGUGACAUACUGCUGGGUCCCGGGGAUUAGGCACCAGACAUCGGGGCGGGGAGAGGUCGUUCUGUACCAGACAAAAUCAGCUGCACCUGUUGCUCUGGACAGAGGGUCACUCGAUAAAAAUGGGCUCCUCCUCUGGUUUCUCUCAUCAGGAGGUGUGCCCGAGUUUCAAAGCUCUGCAUGUAAAGAGUAAGCACGAAGGUGAAUUGGCAGAGAAGUUAGAUGGGAACAGGGGAAAAGGAAAGACGUGAGGAGACACCUUGAAGUGACGGGGGGCUCAGGAUGAGUCCCGAGGCCUUCUCUCCUCAGCCCACACCCUCGCCUGAGCCUUCCCCAUCUCGUGGGCCUCAUCUGACCUGGAGCAGGUCCUCUCCUGAGAGACGCCCAAGCAUCCACCUGGGGAGAUGGGCCUCCUGUCCAGCGGCCUCUCCCUCAUCACACCCACCAGCUGCUGGAGCUCGUGCCGUCUUCUGGCCAGAGUCAUUUAAACCACCACUUAUAUUUGGAGAAAUUUUCUAAUAAGUCAAGAAGGAAAAAGUCAAAGGCUCCAACACAGAUACCUUUGAGAAGGAGAAUGGUCCUAGCCUUUCGGCAGGAAAGGGAGGCUGUCCGGGGCCUCGGCUGAGAGAGAUGACGGAGGGUAAGGCAUGAGGUGGUGGGGCUGCACGGUGCUCCCUGCAGACUGCACUGUCUGGAAGGCGCGGCCUUUAGAAGGGCCCCAAGGAGGCGCGGGGCUGCCCUGGAGCAAGACCAGGAGUCAGCUGUCUCCAGGCCAUAGGCCAGCAAAGGUGCCCCACCUGUAAACCACCAUGGAGACCACGCUGGCUGCCUCUAUCCACGUCCAAAAGGGGACCGUCAGUGUCCUCAGUCACAUGGUGCCAGCUUCCCUCCCUCAGCACCGCCACCGUGAGCGUGACUUGGCUUUCUCUCACUUCAGCAGACCCUCCCCUCCACCAGGUUUCAAGACGGGAGGAGCUUUUCUAUUCCUGUUUGAGUCCCGCACAGUUCCAAACCCUACUGGAUGAGUCCUACAAAACAAAGUCCGUUCUCAGAACUCACCUCCCCACGCUGACUGCGCCGACAGGAGGCCUCUCGGCAUCCGAUCCCCGUGCCGGGACUCAUCCCUCGUUUCUGGAAGAUCAGGAUGUGCUCAUCCCCUUGAAGUUAGCACCAAAAGGAGGCACCAGGACACAGGAAGAACAGGUGUCCAGCCUUUGCUGACCUCCUGGCCCCUCCGGGCUCAGCGCGAACUGCGGGAACAAUGCCACUCAAACUGGGGUCAGUGUCUGCUCCAGCGCAGGCUGAGCAGGCUGGUCUUUGAGGUUUGCUACCAUUUCAGGGGCUCACCUGAGAUGGGGUGGGGAGUUGGCACUGGCUUCAGCACCUACCAGCCUCAAGAGGGGCCACUGCUGGGGCUGCGCCUGGACCCCUGUCCACACAACAGGCCUAGCUGGCCUGCUCCUGAGCCACUGGGAAGCCAGGUGCCUGCAGGCAUCUUCACCUCUUCUGGUGGCCAGAGACGGUGCCCAGGCUCCUGCAGCUGUGUCCAGGCUUCCGUGCCCAAAGCCCGCACGUUGACAGAAAUGGGAUCCCGUCCUUCUCACGCCCACCACCCCGGCCAUCUCCCGUCCCAGGGCCCUGUGGGGCUGGAGAGGCCGCCGUGCCGGAGCCUGUUCGUGCUUGGUGCUGCGGUCUGGGCUUUGACAUCCACACCCAGGGGCUCUCCUCCAUCCUCCACCCACCUCUGGAGCUGGGCUGGGCAGGAGCCUGGUCAGCACUGGCUCACCCUGCUGGGAGGGAGACACACCAGUCCAGAUGCCCCCAGGGAGACCUCCCAAAGGUUGGCACCGGUACCUGGCCCCACAGCCCCAUCCCACCCCAGACCAGCCAGGCACAGCCCAGGCCCCGUGUCAUCUACCCAGACGCCACCUCUGGGCCAUCCUGAGUGGACAUGGGGCAGGCCGAGGCAGCUGGCUGUUAUCCCCAUUAAAAUUCUUUUUCAAAGGCUCCAGUGAGUGGCCUGCUAAAGAUAAACUAUCAGGAGAGAGAACUUCAAAGAAAGUGCUUUAAUGAUGCAAUUAUCUUCAAUCAACUCAGAACAUCUUUAUUACAUUAGUAAAGGGGAAUUUAUCUCAGAAUGCAGAAAGAGCUGGUCUAGCCUCAGACACAGGCCUGGCCGGAGGGCUCUGAGGGCCGCUUUCAGUCUUGCUUCUAAAUUUGCAUGGUGAGAAACUUCCUGAGUGAAUUUCUCUAGCUUAAAUGGACAAAGCAUCAUCCAAAACUAGUUUUCAUUAAACAACUUUGCUUUUUCAGAAAUAAGCAUGUAGUCGAUUUAGUUUGCUGCUUCUGCAGUCAGGGAUAUUACUCUGACACGAAAUCGUUCCUGGCAAACCAAUCUCG
ensembl:lncRNA